rnacentral:lncRNA from 1 species
UCUUUAUAACUACACACAUCCAACACAGCUGUAGGGUAAGUUUUGACACAUGUCAAGCUCACAGCAAUGCAGAGUAAAAUCCUAGCUGGAAAAGGACAAAAAACAUGCUUCUUUUGGGCAAUGUUUUGAAUUGUUUUUCCCUCAUCUUCUAUGUAAAAUUGGGUCAAAUACAUUGAGUCCAACAUAAUCUGGCCCAGCAAACCCCAGUCCUUGAACAUAGAAAAGCUUCACGCCAAACAGAAAAACAAAGAAGCAAGAAGACCUUCCUUUGAGCCGUCCCUUUCACGGUUUCACAUAUUGCAGGUUUGCAGGAAGCAGGCUAGAAUCCAAAAA